AUUGAACGCUGGCGGCAUGCCUUACACAUGCAAGUCGAACGGCAGCAUGAUCUAGCUUGCUAGAUUGAUGGCGAGUGGCGCACGGGUGAGUAAUACAUCGGAACGUUCCCUGUAGUGGGGGAUAACUAGUCGAAAGAUUAGCUAAUACCGCAUACGACCUGAGGGUGAAAGUGGGGGACCGCAAGGCCUCAUGCUAUAGGAGUGGCCGAUGUCUGAUUAGCUAGUUGGUGAGGUAAAGGCUCACCAAGCCGACGAUCAGUAGCUGGUCUGAGAGCACGAUCGGCCACACUGGGAGUGAGACACGGCCCAGACUCCGACGGGAGGCAGCAGUGGGGAAUUUUGGACAAUGGGCGAAAGCCUGAUCCAGCAAUGGCGCGUGUGUGAAGAAGGCCUUCGGGUUGGAAAGAACUUUUGUCCGGAAAGAAAUGGCUCUGGUUAAUACCUGGGGUCAAUGACGGUACCGGAAGAAUAAGGACCGGCUAACUACGUG
rnacentral:rRNA from 1 species